rnacentral:rRNA from 1 species
AUUGAACGCUGGCGGCAUGCCUUACACAUGCAAGUCGAACGGCAGCACGGGAGCAAUCCUGGUGGCGAGUGGCGAACGGGUGAGUAAUAUAUCGGAACGUGCCCAGUCGUGGGGAUAACGUAGCGAAAGCUACGCUAAUACCGCAUACGAUCUAUGGAUGAAAGCGGGGGAUCGCAAGACCUCGCGCGAUUGGAGCGGCCGAUAUCAGAUUAGGUAGUUGGUGGGGUAAAGGCCUACCAAGCCGACGAUCCUUAGCUGGUCUGAGAGGAUGAUCAGUCACACUGGAACUGAGGCACGGUCCAGACUCCUACGGGAGGCAGCAGUGAGGAAUAUUGGACAAUGGGCGCAAGCCUGAUCCAGCCAUGCCGCGUGCAGGAGAAGCAUCUAUGGUGUGUAAACUGCUUUUGUACGGGAAGAAACACUCCUACGUGUAGGAGCGUUGACGGUACCGUAAGAAUAAGGAUCGGCUAACUCCG